UGGUGGAGUGAUUUGUCUGCUUAAUUGCGAUAACGAACGAGACCUUGACCUGCUAAAUAGCCCGGCCGCUUUGGCGGGUCGCCGGCUUCUUAGAGGGACUAUCGGCUCAAGCCGAUGGAAGUUCGAGGCAAUAACA
rnacentral:rRNA from 1 species